rnacentral:rRNA from 1 species
UAUCGAUGAAGAACGCAGCUUGCUGUGUUACUUACCACGAAUUGCAGACGCUUAGAGUGGUAAACUUUCGAACGCAUAGCACCGACUGGGUCUCCAGUCGGUACGUCUGGUUCAGGGUUG